rnacentral:rRNA from 1 species
CUCAUUAUAACAGCUAAAAUUUACUUGAUUUUGACUUUUAUCCUACAUGGAUAACUGUGGUAAUUCUGGAGCUAAUACAUGCAUAAAAGAUAUAACAUUUUUAUGUUAUAUUGCGUAUAUUAGUAUUAAAACCAAGCAUUCUUCGGAAUGUUUUGUGUUGAAACUGAAUAUAUCAUGCUGAUCGUAUGGUCUUGUACCGACGACAUGUCAUUCAAGUGUCUGAUCUAUCAACUUUCUAUAUAAGUAUAUAGUACUUAUAUGGUUUUGACGGAUAACGGGGUAUUAGGGUACGACUCCGGAGAAAAUGCCUGAGAAACGGCGUUUACAUCCAAGGAAGGCAGCAGGCGCGAAAAUUACCCACUCUCAGUACGAGGAGGUAGUGACGAGAAAUGACAAGAUCUAUUCCUUCGGGGAUGGAUCAUUGGAAUGGUUUGAUUUUAAAAUCAUUAAAGAGUAUCAAUGAGAGGGCAAGUCUGGUGCCAGCAGCCGCGGUAAUUCCAGCUCUCAUACUGCAUUGAAUUGUUGUUGCGGUUAAAAAGCUCGUAGUUGGAUCUGUACAUGAUAGGUUAGUUCAUCCUUUGGAUUGUAACUAAUACUA